CCUCUCUCUCUCUCUCUCUCUCUCUCUCUCUCUCUCCCCCCCUCCCUCUCUCUAAUAACUCCUGUCAAGCAAUGGCUUCCCAGAUCUAAUUGUCUCAGAUUCUCUGUUUUUCACAUUUGCGAGUCUUCGACACCGCUGCUAUACUGUGUUGUUUUUGGGGCCUCGCCGGAGUUUAAGCAAAGAAAGAAGAGGGAGCGUAGAUGUUGAGAAUGGAGAAGUCGUUUCCGGAGGAGGUGCUAGAGCACGUGUUCUCGUUUGUACAGUCGGCCAAGGAUAGGAAUUCGGUGUGUUUGGUCUGCAAGUCGUGGUACGAGAUAGAGAGAUGGUGUAGGAAGAGGGUUUUCGUCGGAAACUGCUACUCGGUGAGCCCUGGAAUUGUAAUCAGAAGAUUCCCGGACGUCAGAUCUAUCGAGCUUAAGGGGAAGCCGCACUUUGCGGACUUCAAUCUGGUCCCGGACGGCUGGGGGGCCUACGUUUACCCCUGGAUUGCCGCUAUGGGCUCCGCCUACCCCUUCCUCGAGGAGAUCAGGCUCAAGCGGAUGGUGGUCACGGAUGAAGCCCUUGAACUCAUUGCCAAGUCAUUUAAGAAUUUCAAAGUUCUUGUCCUUACCUCUUGUGAGGGAUUCUCCACUGAUGGUCUCGCGGCCAUUGCUGCCAAUUGCAGGAAUUUGAGAGAGUUGGACUUGCGAGAGAGUGAGGUGGAUGAUCUUAGUGGCCAUUGGCUGAGCCAUUUUCCUGAUACAUUCACGUCACUGGUGUCUCUUAACAUUUCGUGUUUAGACUCUGAGGUAAACUUCUCAGCCUUAGAGCGACUGGUUGGUCGGUGCCCCAACUUGAAGACCCUCAGGCUCAACCGUCUGGUGCCACUUGAGAGGCUCUCCAGCUUGCUUACCCGGGCUCCUCAGCUAGUUGAGUUUGGCACAGGUGCAUGCUCAGCCGAGGUGCGGUCUGAUUUGUUCUCUGAUCUAGCAGUUAGUUUAUCUAGCUGCAAGGAACUAAAGAGCCUUUCUGGGUUUUGGGAUGUUCUCCCUACUUACCUGCCAGCUUUUUAUCCUGUUUGCUGUGGUCUAACAUCGUUGAAUUUGAGCUACGCUAUAAUUCAAAGUCCCGAUCUUAUCAAGCUCGUUAGCCAAUGUCCGAGUUUGCAGCGCCUAUUGGUACUUGACUACAUUGAAGACGCUGGACUUGAAGCUGUUGCAGCGUGUUGCAAGGACCUGCGUGAACUGCGGGUGUUCCCUUCAGACCCAUUUGGUGAUGUCCAAAUCCCAAACGUACCCUUGACAGAACAGGGCCUUGUAUCCAUUUCCUACGGCUGCUCCAAGCUCGAGUCAGUGCUCUACUUCUGCCGUCAAAUGACUAACAGUGCAUUGGUUACCAUUGCCAGAAACCGUCCAAACAUGACAUGUUUUCGUCUUUGUAUUCUUGUACCACAUACACCGGAUUACGUAACGCUUGAGCCGCUUGAUGUGGGUUUUGGAGCUAUUGUUGAGAACUGCAAGGAUCUCCGUCGCCUUUCCCUCUCGGGUCUUCUUACUGAUCGGAUGUUUGAGUAUAUUGGGACAUAUGGUAAAAAGCUCGAAAUGCUGUCUUUGGCUUUUGCAGGAGAUAGUGAUUUGGGACUCCAUCAUGUGUUAUCUGGGUGUGAAAGCCUCCGGAAACUGGAAAUACGGGACUGUCCUUUUGGUGACAAGGCUCUAUUGGCCAAUGCUGGAAAGCUGGAGACAAUGCGAUCCCUUUGGAUGUCGUCUUGCUCAGUAAGUUUUGGAGCAUGCAAGUUACUAGGUCAAAAGAUGCCCAGGCUUAAUGUUGAAGUUAUUGAUGAGAGGGGACCUCCAGAUUCCAGACCCGAGAGCUGCCCUGUAGAGAAGCUUUAUAUUUAUAGGACUGUUGCUGGGCCGAGGUUAGAUAGGCCCGGUUUCAUUUGGACGAUGGAUGAAGAUUCUGCAUUGAGUCUUUCUUGACAGAUCUCUUAAUGGAUGAAGCAUUCUUGCAUCUUUCCCCUCGGGAAUGGAAAGUGGAUAUGGCAGGUACACCGUGAUUCUGAAUGUUGUCCGAUGCUUAAACAGCUACCCAUGUUAUUGGACUUGUUUUUAGAAUCAAGAGGUGUAACAGAGAAUUAGGAAGCAAGACAGAGUGCUCUGUUUCAGCAAUCGUUAUAUGGAGAGAGAUUAGGAAAAUACUAACAAGGCUUACUCUGGUUUUGGUGUUUGCAUGAACCUAUCAAUCACUGUGACUCUCUCUCUCUCUCUCUCUCUGUGUAAGCUGAUGAGCCACCAAACCCAACUACUUUCAGACUCUUUGAAUAAAGCCAGAUCAAUAUCAGCCAUGGCUUUUAUAUAAAGCAAGCAUGAUCAAGCCUAUAAAUUCCAAGAAUUGCAGUCGUCAAAACAGAGAAGAAGAAAGCAACAUGUACAAGAAAGACAGACAGACAGACAAGAACGUAUCACAUACACUCCCAGCCCCACCACCCAGAGAAGAAUACGUGAUAGAAAGUAGAGAGAGAAGAAAGAAAAAGAUUUUGUGCCCAUGAAUACAACUGGGGAGGGGGAGCAAUCAUAUUCCAAAACAUUUUUAUUGGUAGAUAAAUGGCACACGUUUGGUGUUAUAUUAUGUGAUGACACCAAUUGUGAUGAUUUCAGCUAUUUUUGUUUCUAUCCCUCACAACAAAAGGUGAUGGAAAGCAAGCAGUGAAUUCUGUCUCUCCUUUUAUUGGCAAUACUUGUUUAAAUCUAUUACUUAGAGUCAAGUCUUUAUGAUAGUAAUUGUGUAUUGACUACUUGUGGCUACUUCUAAAUGGCAUAGUUGACUGGGAAAGUCUUGGAUUUCCCCAUGUUAUGGGGUAAGCUAGUUGUCUUGCUCUUGCCUUGCAAAUUUUAACAAGUCAGUCCUCCAUCAAUUAGGAGAGCAUAGCUGUUCUACAGAUCUCAACGGUUUUUGUUCCACCCAUCCGAAAUGCUUAGAUGUAUGCACACACAACCUCUAAAGACGACAAAAAUGGACGGAGUAGUGAAAAAUGUGAAGGUGGUUAAUGUGGAGAGUUCAAGUCCGCAAGACUCCCACAGUGUGCGAGGGAUCGGGAGAAGAUGAGAAGCAUGCAGUCUUAGCCUAUUCUCCAUCACAAGGAUGAUUUUUUUUUUCCAAAAUUCGAGCAGGUGACCCUUAAGUUUCAGUUAAGCAUUUAUUUACCAUCAAGUUUUUCCAUAAUUGACCAU